ACGUACUGAAAUCUUUGUUUUGAUCGGAUCAAUUCUGACUGGAUACUGGAUACUGGAUCGAGCAGUGGUGCGCACAGAACUGGAUUAUGGUCUGGUCUGUGCAGUCCGGGAUGAACUGAGAGCAGACUGGAGCAUGAGCGCGUGUGUGAAUACAAUGGCUUAUGCUGUAGGACUUUUCUAAAGAACUGAAGGAAGUGUUGGAUACUGAGUUAUGAGAUGAUCCGAGCUAUGGAAGGACGCAGUACUGAUGAGAUAGGUUUUGACUGGAGUGAUGGAUGCGAUCAAGUCUGGUGAUGUACGGUACAAGAUAGACUGAUGAGCAGUAUGGUCGUGAGGAGUACUGACUGGAUAGUAGACUGUAGAGCUGAAUACGUGCUGACUGAUCUGGUAGUGAUCAGUGACUGUUUCUAGGACGACGCUGAGCAUGGCUGGCGUACUGAUUCUUCUGGAUGGCUGGUUGGAGACCAAGCCGUCUCUUUUUGCUCUUGGUCAU
rnacentral:lncRNA from 1 species